UUUCCAGACUCCUACGGGAGGCAGCAGUGAGGAAUAUUGGUCAAUGGGCGAGAGCCUGAACCAGCCAAGUCGCGUGAGGGAAGACGGUCCUACGGAUUGUAAACCUCUUUUGUCAGGGAGCAAGGAGCGCCACGAGUGGUGCGGCGAGAGUACCUGAAGAAAAAGCAUCGGCUAACUCCGUGCCAGCAGCCGCGGUAAUACGGAGGAUGCGAGCGUUAUCCGGAUUUAUUGGGUUUAAAGGGUGCGCAGGCGGAAGCGGCAAGUCAGCGGUCAAAUCGCGGGGCUCAACCCCGCCCAGCCGUCGGAACUGCCGGGCUAGAGUGGGCGAGAAGUGCGCGGAAUGCGUGGUGUAGCGGUGAAAUGCAUAGAUAUCACGCAGAACUCCGAUUGCGAAGGCAGCGCACCGGCGCCCUACUGACGCUCAGGCACGAAAGCGUGGGUAUCGAACAGGAUUAGAUACCCGAGUAUC
rnacentral:rRNA from 1 species